UUGGAGGGCAAGUCUGGUGCCAGCAGCCGCGGUAAUUCCAGCUCCAAUAGCGUAUAUUAAAGUUGUUGCAGUUAAAAAGCUCGUAGUUGAAUUUCGGGAUUUAUCCGUCGGUCGGGCUUUUGGGUCUGUACUGGCGUGAUGGAUUCCUACCUUCUGAAUAACCGGCAUGUCAUUAAUUUGGUGCGCCGGGGAAGCAGGACUGUUACCUUGAAAAAAUUAGAGUGCUUAAAGCAGGCUUAUGCCUGAAUACAUUAGCAUGGAAUAAUGAAAUAGGACGGCAUGGUUCUAUUUUGUUGGUUUCUAGGAUCACCGUAAUGAUUAAUAGGGAUAGUUGGGGGCAUUAGUAUUCAAUUGUCAGAGGUGAAAUUCUUGGAUUUAUUGAAGACUAACUUCUGCGAAAGCAUUUGCCAAGGAUGUUUUCAUUAAUCAAGAACGAAAGUUAGGGGAUCGAAGACGAUCAGAUACCGUCGUAGUCUUAACCAUAAACUAUGCCGACUAGAGAUCGGACGAUGUUAAUUUUUUAAUGACUCGUUCGGCGCCUUACGGGAAAC
rnacentral:rRNA from 1 species